UGGGCAUGUGGUGUUAGGUUUCCGAUCUCGGUGGCUACUUCAUUCCAAGUCCAAGCUUGAAUAUGGUGUUACUUGGCCCACAGAGGGUGAAAGGCCCGUGGUGGAUGGAGGUGCUGCUGAUUUUGGUUACCGUGGAGUCGGGUUGUUUGAGAAUGCAGCCCAAAGUUGGUGGUAAACUCCAUCUAAGGCUAAAUACUGGCACGAGUCCGAUAGCGAACAAGUACCGUGAGGGAAAGUUGAAAAGUACUCUGAAGAGAGAGUAAACAGUGCGUGAAACCGCUUAGAGGUAAACGGGUGUAGUCAAGCUGCAAGCUUUGAGAAAUCUCCGGGUUAGUUGGCGUGAGCCUGAGCACACUCUAACGAGAACGGUGGUGGGUCUAUCCUCGGGAUGGGUCGGGCGCGAAUUGUCCGAUUGUGGAUGCCAGCCUCUAUGGUGUUCGCUACCCGGUACUUUCUCUAAGUAAGUACGA
rnacentral:rRNA from 1 species